CAGAGGUGUUUUAAUGUCUCUUCCGUACAAGUAUCAGAUUUCCAAUUACAAGUGCAACUGCUAUUAAUAUCCAAGAAACUACAAAAUACAAGCUAGGUAACUGCUUAACAAGUGGCGACGAGGAUUUUCAAGUGAACAAAUGCGUGUGAAAUUUCUAGAUGAGCGUGCUAACCCGAAGCAAAGCUAAAGACAAUCCAGGAGCGUCGGAAGCAACAGACGAAAGUGAAGGUGACGAUCUGACGGUGAUCCAACAGUAUUCAUCUCAGACUCAGGGACCAUUAUCCUUCGAAGAACAUUGUGAUCGUUGGAUAAUUUAUUUCGAAGACGCAAAUAUUGCUGAUGACGUUAAAAAGCGGAACCAAUUUCUAAACUACCAGGAUGACAAGAUGUACGGGGUGAUAAGCACCCUUUGCCUGCCGAAGAAGCAAGUCGAGCCAUCCAGCCUGGUUUACCAGGACAAGAUGAAUAGCCGCGUGCAGAAACAAGACGAGACAGCAGCGGAAUUCAUCGCAGAUCUACACAAAAUCGCCAGCAAGUGCAAGUAUGCAAACGUCAACGAGCAAAUUCGCUCGCGAAUAAUCUCAGGAAUGCGGAGCGAAAAGUUGAAGGAGACAUUACUGGCCGAGAAAGAAGAGAGACUGACCCUGGAAUUCGUGACGCAGAAGUUACUUGCGCACGAACGUGCAGAAGCAGCAACAAAAGCACUCAAGCCGCAGCAAGUUGAAGCGGAUCAAGCAGCAGCCGCACUACAUAAAUUCCACAUGACUCCAAAACAGAAGCUAUUCCAAGGUAAUAAGCGGCUACCUGAAUUACAAAGAUCGACGAACCAACCAGUACAGAGAAGCAGCGUAAAUAGCAGCGACAUCAAAUGUUUCUGCUGUGGAAAAAUCGGGCACAAAUUCCAUCAAUGCCAGUCAAAGGCA